AAAAAAAAAAAAACAAAAUCAAUACGGUAAAUCCGUACUAAAACAUAGGCACCGGCACUCGCGGCGGUUUAGGCGACGGCGGUCUGUGCACCGUGACGAUUACUUCCUCAGCUCGAGUCGACUCACACGGACAUGGCAAUGCGAUAAAUUUCGGGAUCUGAUCUCCAGGCAUUAUUACUGGUAAGCUUUGGCUUUCAUUUUGCUUCAAAUCCGUGUGAGAUUUGGUAGGUGAAGCCUCGAUGUCAACCUCGGGAUCAGGGUCGUCGGAAGAAG
rnacentral:misc_RNA from 1 species